rnacentral:rRNA from 1 species
CUGAUGGCGACCGGCGCACGGGUGCGUAACGCGUAUGCAACCUACCUGUAACAGGGGGAUAACACUGAGAAAUCGGUACUAAUACCGCAUAACACUAUGAGAGGCAUCUCUUGUGGUUGAAAGUUUCGGCGGUUACAGAUGGGCAUGCGUUGUAUUAGCUGGUUGGUAAGGUAACGGCUUACCAAGGCGACGAUACAUAGGGGGACUGAGAGGUUAACCCCCCACAUUGGUACCGAGACACGGACCAAACUCCUACGGAAGGCAGCAG